AGGUAUAUAACUCAGUGGUAGAGUGCGUGCUUAGCAAGCUUGAGGUCCUGGGUUCAAUCCCCAGUACCUCCA
rnacentral:tRNA from 1 species